CGGUAAGGCCCUUCGGGGUACACGAGCGGCGAACGGGUGAGUAACACGUGGGUGAUCUGCCUUGCACUUCGGGAUAAGCCUGGGAAACUGGGUCUAAUACCGGAUAUGACCUCGGAAUGCAUGUUCUGGGGUGGAAAGAUUUAUCGGUGCGAGAUGGGCCCGCGGCCUAUCAGCUUGUUGGUGAGGUAACGGCUCACCAAGGCGACGACGGGUAGCCGACCUGAGAGGGUGACCGGCCACACUGGGACUGAGACACGGCCCAGACUCCUACGGGAGGCAGCAGUGGGGAAUAUUGCACAAUGGGCGCAAGCCUGAUGCAGCGACGCCGCGUGCGGGAUGACGGCCUUCGGGUUGUAAACCGCUUUUGACAGGGACGAAGCGCAAGUGACUGUACCUGUAGAACAAGGACCAGCCAACUACGUGCCAGCAGCCGCGGUAAUACGUAGAGUCCGGGCGUUGUCCGGAAUUACUGGGCGUAAAGAGCUUGUAGGCGGUUCGUCGCGUCGUUUGUGAAGACUUGGGGCUCAACCUUAAGCUUGCAGGCGAUACGGGCGGACUAGAGUACUUCAGGGGAGACUGGAAUUCCUGGUGUAGCGGUGAAAUGCGCAGAUAUCACGAGGAACACCGGUGGCGAAGGCGGGUCUCUGGGAAGUAACUGACGCUGAGAAGCGAAAGCAUGGGUAGCAAACAGGGUUAGAUACCCUGGUAGUCCAUGCCGUAAACGGUGGGUACUAGGUGUGGGGCUCCUUCCACGGACUCCGUGCCGUAGCUAACGCAUUAAGUACCCCGCCUGGGGAGUACGGCCGCAAGGCUAAAACUCACAUGAAUUGACGGGG
rnacentral:rRNA from 1 species